rnacentral:lncRNA from 13 species
AUGAGACCUCAUUUCUGUAACAUCCUGGAAAAGGCAAAACUUUGGCAACAGAACAGAGAUGUGAAUCAGACCAAAACCAGACCCUGCAGAUUUCCGAGGCGCCUCAGCCUAAGCUUCCGUGUGGCCGAAGCCUGGAACCCGGAACCGCUAACCAUUCUCCUGGCCCAGCGUGUCUGUGAAUCCAAGUGCGCCCUGAGGAGAAGACCCUGCCCACUCAUCCUGGGGGCCUGGCGGACCUGUUGUACAAUGCUGAAUGGGACCAUUGAGAGUGGCCUCAGGGGAAGCACCCCGCCUUUCACCGGUAGGUAUGAUGUCAGCUGUGGGGUGUUCAGAGAUGCCUUUCAUCAGGUUGAAGAGGUUCCCUCGGCUCCUGUUUGCCAAGAGUGUUUUCAGAAUGGGUGUUGGAGUUUGUCAGAUGCUUUUUCUGUGUCUAUUGAGAGAAUCACUUGUUUUCCUGUCCGUUUGUUAAUAUUGUGACUUAAAUUAUUUGUAAGUGUUCGAUCCUUAAGACAAUCCUGACAUAUUGGGGGAAAUGGCACUUGGUUACACGUAUUAUCUUUCUCAUACAUUGUUGGGUUGACUUAUAGGAAGCUUUUGUUGGAACUUUGCAUGUGUGUCCGCGAGGGAUGAUUGUUCCUAUCUCCUGUACCGUCUUUCAUUUUCGUAUCAGGACAAUGCUGCCUCCUGGAAGGACUCAAGAAAAAUCCCUGCCUUUCAACUUGCGGGAAGAGCUUAUGUAGAGUUGCUAUUAGCUGUUUCUGAAAUGUUGGCUAGAACUCCCCUAUGAGGCCGCCUAAGCCGGGGAGGUAUUUUGUAUGUGAGAGGGGAAGGUUUUUACCUACAGAUUCAAUCUGCGACUCAGCCCUCUGCGCCUCUCCCGGGUUCUCGCUGAGUGCAGCUCUCCUCGCCCAUCCUCUGCCCUGCAAACUGUGGCUGCCUUGGUCUCCCCGAUUCUCAGCGUCCUCAACUCGGAGAUCCCCUGGCCCACCUGCGUCACCUCCCAGCGCUGUGACCUGGACACUGUCUCUGGGUGGGUGGUUGGGCCCCCGGAGGGCUCAUCACGUCUGUGUCCCGUUGUUUCCUGGGUCACGGCCUUUUUGUGUCUGGUGCCCAGUGCCUUGAGGAUUCUGGUUUCAAUGAUCUUGUCUCUUGUUCCCUUGUUUUGGGCAGCCCGGUGUACUCAGUCCCUGUCACUCCGCCGUGUCUGGAAGUGGCAGUAGCGGGCGUCUCCUAGUUUGUUUCCUACACUAGAAUAGUCAUUGCAUACAUGUUUGUUGUAGGAAAUCUAGAAAUACAAAGAUACAUGAAGAAAAAGGAAUCACUUAGCGUCUCAUUGACAACUAGCAUGUUCAGUGCUCUCAACAGCACAAUAUCCUCCAGCCCUGCUGAGACCCACGCAGCAGAGGGGUGCCCGGCACGGCGA